CGGCGAACGGGUGAGUAACACGUGAGCAACCUGCCCUAGGCUUUGGGAUAACCCCGGGAAACCGGGGCUAAUACCGAAUAUGACUUCUGGUCGCAUGACCGGUGGUGGAAAGUUUUUCGGCCUGGGAUGGGCUCGCGGCCUAUCAGCUUGUUGGUGGGGUGAUGGCCUACCAAGGCGACGACGGGUAGCCGGCCUGAGAGGGCGACCGGCCACACUGGGACUGAGACACGGCCCAGACUCCUACGGGAGGCAGCAGUGGGGAAUAUUGCACAAUGGGCGGAAGCCUGAUGCAGCGACGCCGCGUGAGGGAUGACGGCCUUCGGGUUGUAAACCUCUUUCAGCAGGGACGAAGCGUAAGUGACGGUACCUGCAGAAGAAGCGCCGGCCAACUACGUGCCAGCAGCCGCGGUAAGACGUAGGGCGCGAGCGUUGUCCGGAUUUAUUGGGCGUAAAGAGCUCGUAGGCGGCUUGUCGCGUCGACUGUGAAAACCCGCAGCUCAACUGCGGGCCUGCAGUCGAUACGGGCAGGCUAGAGUUCGGUAGGGGAGACUGGAAUUCCUGGUGUAGCGGUGAAAUGCGCAGAUAUCAGGAGGAACACCGGUGGCGAAGGCGGGUCUCUGGGCCGAUACUGACGCUGAGGA
rnacentral:rRNA from 1 species